ensembl:snRNA U1 U1 spliceosomal RNA
GUCUGUACCUGGCAGGGGAGAUACCAUGAUCACAAAGGUUUUCCCAGAGCGAGGCUCAUCCAUUGCUCUGCGGGUGUGCUGAUCUCUGUGAUUUCCCGAAAUGUGGGAAACUCGACUGCAUAAUUUGUGGUAUUCUUUUUACAAACACAAAUAC